UACGGGGGGUGCGAGCGUUGUCCGGAAUCACUGGGCGUAAAGGGCGCGUAGGUGGCCCCUCAAGCGUGCGGUGAAAGUCGGGGGCUCAACCCCCGAUCGGCCGUGCGAACUGGGGGGCUGGAGCACUGUAGAGGCAGGCGGAAUUCCGGGUGUAGCGGUGGAAUGCGUAGAGAUCCGGAAGAACACCGGUGGCGAAGGCGGCCUGCUGGGCAGUUUUGCUGACACUGAGGCGCGACAGCGUGGGGAGCAAACAGG
rnacentral:rRNA from 1 species